GCCUGGGUGGCUCAGUCGGUUGAGCGACUGACUUCGGCUCCGGUCAUGAUCUCACGGUCCGUGGGUGCAAGCCCCGCAUCAGGCU
rnacentral:tRNA from 1 species